rnacentral:rRNA from 1 species
GAUGAACGCUGGCGGCGUGCCUAACACAUGCAAGUCGAACGGAGUCCAGCCUUUAAGACCUUCGGGUCAAAGAGGGGAAGCCUGAGUGGCGGACGGGUGAGUAACACGUGGGCAACCUGGCUCAUAGAGGGGGAUAACAGAGAGAAAUUUCUGCUAAUACCGCAUAAGCACACACUGCCGCAUGGCAGAGGGUGAAAAGAGAAUCGCUAUGAGAUGGACCCGCGUCUGAUUAGCCAGUUGGCAGGGUAAGAGCCUACCAAAGCGACGAUCAGUAGCCGAUCUGAGAGGAUGAACGGCCACAUUGGGACUGAGACACGGCCCAAACUCCUACGGGAGGCAGCAGUGGGGGAUAUUGCACAAUGGGGGGAACCCUGAUGCAGCGACGCCGCGUGAGUGAAGAAGUAUUUCGGUAUGUAAAGCUCUAUCAGCAGGGAAGAUAAUGACAGUACCUGAAGAAGAAGCCCCGGCUAACUACGUG